GGGGAAUAUUGCACAAUGGGGGAAACCCUGAUGCAGCAACGCCGCGUGAGUGAAGGAGUGCUUCGGCAUGUAAAGCUCUAUCAGCAGGGAAGAAGAAGGACGGUACCUGACUAAGAAGCACCGGCCAACUACGUGCCAGCAGCGGCGGUAAUACGUAGGGGGCAAGCGUUAUCCGGAGUUACUGGGUGUAAAGGGAGCGUAGACGGCAGCGCAAGUCUGAAGUGAAAGCCCGUGGCUCAACCGCGGAACUGCUUUGGAAACUGUGCGGCUGGAGUGCUGGAGAGGUAAGCGGAAUUCCUGGUGUAGCGGUGAAAUGCGUAGAGAUCAGGAGGAACACCGGUGGCGAAGGCGGCUUACUGGACAGUAACUGACGUUGAGGCUCGAAAGCGUGGGGAGCAAACAGGA
rnacentral:rRNA from 1 species